rnacentral:rRNA from 1 species
GUGCCAGCCGCCGCGGUAAUACGUAGGGACCAAGCGUUGUUCGGAUUUACUGGGCGUAAAGGGCGCGUAGGCGGCAUUGUUAGUCACUUGUGAAAUCUCCGGGCUUAACUCGGAAUGGCCAAGUGAUACUGCAGUGCUAGAGUGCAGAAGGGGCAAUCGGAAUUCUUGGUGUAGCGGUGAAAUGCGUAGAUAUCAAGAGGAACACCUGAGGUGAAGACGGGUUGCUGGGCUGACACUGACGCUGAGGCGCGAAAGCCAGGGGAGCAAACGGGAUUAGAAACCCGCGUAGUCC